UACAGAGGGGGCAAGCGUUAUUCGGAAUUAUUGGGCGUAAAGGGCGCGUAGGCGGCCUGGCAAGUGGAAGGUGAAAUCCCUCGGCUUAACCGAGGAACUGCCCUCCAAACUGCUUGGCUUGAGUCCGGGAGAGGUGAGUGGAAUUCCCAGUGUAGCGGUGAAAUGCGUAGAUAUCAGGAGGAACACCGGUGGUGUAGACGGCUUUCUGGACCGUAACUGACGCUGAGACACGAAAGCGUGGGUAGCAAACAGG
rnacentral:rRNA from 1 species